CCUACGGGUGGCAGCAGUGAGGAAUAUUGGUCAAUGGACGCAAGUCUGAACCAGCCAUGCCGCGUGCAGGAAGACGGCUCUAUGAGUUGUAAACUGCUUUUGUACGAGGGUAAACGCAGAUACGCGUAUCUGUCUGAAAGUAUCGUACGAAUAAGGAUCGGCUAACUCCGUGCCAGCAGCCGCGGUAAUACGGAGGAUUCAAGCGUUAUCCGGAUUUAUUGGGUUUAAAGGGUGCGUAGGCGGUCGGAUAAGUUAGAGGUGAAAUCCCGAGGCUCAACUUCGGAAUUGCCUCUGAUACUGGUCGGCUAGAGAGUAGUUGCGGUAGGCGGAAUGUAUGGUGUAGCGGUGAAAUGCUUAGAGAUCAUACAGAACACCGAUUGCGAAGGCAGCUUACCAAGGUACUUCUGACGUUGAGGCACGAAGGCGUGGGGAGCGAACAGGAUUAGAUACCCGUGUAGUC
rnacentral:rRNA from 1 species